AAAUGAUAUCGAAAAAUUAUGAAAUUUAGUUUCUAAUUACUUUUAAUAGUGUAGAUCAAGUCUAACGGAGCCGAUCGUCGAUUUGUAAGCCGUAUCAUCGAAAACAACUUGGUAGCACGGAGUCCUCCGUGCUACCGAUAGUAUAGUAGCCUAGUUAUAUAUAUAUAUAGAGAAUUAGACUGGAAUACUAUUAAUAGUAAAACGCUCUUUUUGCUAUUAAGUUUUUAACCCUUGGAUCAAAAAUUGUAGGGUCAGGAUGAUAUUAGUCGGUUAGAGUUGAGUGGUCCUCCUAGGGUUAAGUGGUCCUCACCGGGUUAUAGUAUUUAAAUCCAAUGGUUAGAAAUAAUGAAAAAAGUUGAUUCAAAGGCUAAAAAAUUGAUAGCAACAAUGAAAUUUUGCUACUAAUAGUAGCCCAGUCCAACUCUAUAUAUAUAUAUAUAUAGAGUCCGGCUACUAUGCUAUUAAUAGUACGAAGCACUUGGUGCUAUCAAGUUUUUCGCCGUUAGAUCUACCCCUUUAAUCAUUUUCACCCGUUAGAUCAUACUAUUCAACCAACCACCCACUCAACCUUAUGGGGCCCACAUCAUCCUAACCGCACAUCUCUUAAUCCAAUAGUCAAAAAUUUAGUAACACCAAUAACUUGGUACUAUUAAUAGCAUAGUAGUCUAAUUCUAUAUAUAUAUAUAUAUAUAUUCUACGUCCUAUCCAUUCAAUUGGUGAGGUGAAGUGACUAGUAAUUCACACUCACCCUUUGAUGGAUAGGAUGUAACUUGUGCAUCCUAAUUGGAGUGUACAAA
rnacentral:lncRNA from 1 species